rnacentral:tRNA from 1 species
GGGGGUGUGGCGGAAUGGUAGACGCUGCGGACUUAAAAUCCGUUGAUUUCAUCAAUCGUGAGGGUUCAAGUCCCUCCAUCCCCA